CGGUCAAGUGAUACUAAAACACCAGUUCUUGUUUGAUCACUGAAGUUAAGCAGUAUUGGGCCCAGUCAAUACUUAGAUAGGGAACUGCUUGAGAACAUUAGGUACUGCAA